rnacentral:ribozyme from 15 species
GAAAGGGCAUCAUCGCAAUGCUGAUGCCGCGCGUGCAAGUCAACCGAUCUGCUGGUGAAUUCCGGGUGCACCGACCACCCACCUCCGAGCAAUGCGGAAGAUGCAUCGCUGGUUGGCGCACAAAUGCAGAGGCGAAGGCAACUAUGAAUGCAGAGCAGCACAGAAAGGUGCAU